CAGAACAUUUCUCCGAACAAAUAGUCCAUUUCACAUUUGAAGCCCGAAUAUAUAAUCAGCAAUUAUACAAUGACGCCUGAUAGCGCCGGUUUUUUAAAGAAACAAUAUGUUAAUAUUUAUAUUGAUAAAUUUACAGGAAGCAAUUAUCUCUUCUUAUUAAUUAUGGCUUCGUCGCUGACACUUCUGGCACUGUUGUGCUACUUGGGGAAGAGAUUUGAUUGGCGCGUUCAGGCAUCGGCUGCGAUGAGAACCUUGCGUCACAAAUUUAAGCGCAUGUGGAAAGAGUGGAGACAGCACGGUAAGCCAACGUAUGAGAAGAUUAAGAAGGUAAACGAGGACUACAAAAAUGAUGUUUGCCAAAACAGCGAUCUGAGGCAACCGUUGAUUGAGAAUCAGGAUAUUUAUAUGUAAUAUCCAGUACGAAUGCGUGCUAGAAGCUGAUUGGCCAGUACCGACUCAUAGUUGGGAGAUUUGUUGUGUUGCCUUUAUUUUUUCAGCUAUUUUCAUGUGUAUAGUUCUUGCGAUCAAAAACGUUUUUCAUAGGAAAAAAACAACACUGACAGACAAUAACCAUUUGUAAUAAAGAUACAUUGCCGUGAUAAAUAUGUUGAAUUCCAUACUUUUAAUUUUGCUUUUAUUAUGGUUGUCAUCAAAUUCAAAUUGUCUGUAGUUACAUUUGAAAAAAAAAGUUUUAUGCUGUAGUGAAAUGGUUUGCAUUUAGAGAUAACGACUAAAUAUUUUGGUUGAUUAUUAGAAAAACUCAUUGAACAAUAAAAAUGUACCUAUCUCCACAAUUAAUUCGCAUUAACGUUAGAUAUCGAAUGCGUUUUGUAAUCAUGCGCUUUGUGUUAAUAUUUAAUGUGUUUGAUUGUUUCUUGUUUUUCUCUACGACAGUUGUUUUAAUAAAUCAUGAGUGAAAGAGAAA